UUGACUCUUAAAUGAGAAUCGUUAUGAUUAUCACAUCCAGUCGCGAGACUGGUGAUCUCUGAAAGGCCCUUGGUUCGGACUUUCAGAUGUCUCCUCAUCAGGCUAAUCACGGUUAUUGACCCGGCACUUUGCCGGGUCUUUUUUUU
rfam:Pseudomonas rhizosphaerae strain DSM 16299, complete genome.